UCCGCUUCACACAGCAAGGAGGGUGAAUUGGUUAGGAAAACUAAACAUAUUUAGUGCAUUUAGUGGCCAUAUUACAUUCUCAUGUGGAAUGUUGAAUUUGUGAAUAGCACCUUCAAGCCAUUCUGCAAUAUUUGCAGGCUAUUCGGGGCUGAUGGCCUGCACCCCAGCAGAGUUGAAGCGGAGAACCUCUUGGACCACAUCUCCAGGGCGCUGCACACCUUCUGACUGUGAUUGAGAGAGCUGUAGAGAAGAAGAGCAUCAGUCCUGCACACCAGCAAUUCCACUUGCCCUCAUUCCCACCACACAGGCAUGUGUAUGAGCUGAGCCAGGAUUCUAAGGUUCCUUCAACAUAUGUCAAUAGGAAUUUUUUGGAUAUUCGAUCAUUCAAAAAGUAAAGUCUGAAAGACACUACUGAGUUUGGUGGAAGUAGCUUAAAAGCUUAAUAUUGAUAUAAUUAAUAUAACUAUUUAUGUAUAUAGAAUUAAAAGUGAAAAGAAAAGAAAUCAUUUAAGUGCUAAAAUUCUAUAACUUCUGUUCUUAAAUAAAAAUAUGUA